UCGAAUGAACGAAGCGCGCGGUUGCUGCUGGUCGCUCGCGCGACAACGUGCACGCCGCCGUUUCUCUUUCAAUCCACCCCCCUUCUGUGCACUUUCCGUGGACCGCGAAUCUCUCGCGGUCUAUGACUUUACACACUCCGUAACCUUUAAAUGAAUGCAUCGUUGGUAUAAUAUA
rnacentral:misc_RNA from 1 species